UGAAAUAGAAAACAUAAAAAAAUGCAUAAAUUAAUAUUCACUCGCUGGUUAAUCGGAGCUAGGGAUGAAAGAUUUUUUUCUUGCUUCCCUUUACACAAACUUCGGUAUGGAGAGAAUGAUAGAAAUUAGAACAAAAUUGAGAUCAAACUCUCAAGUUAUGCUUCGGUCAACGAUAUAAUCGCUCGCUGCGAAAACAACCACAGAUCAUUUCAAUCUGAUGUAUUUAAAUUUUUCCAACAUACUAUUUCAAUAAUAAAUGUGUCAAUCAUAUCUCAUACUAUUAUCUAACUAACCGCCAAUGGUUCUUAAAUUUGCAUUCACCAUCAAACUUUUGCCACAGCAUGAUUCUUUUACGAAGCAACAACAUUUCAAAAGCAUAACAUCAAUCAGCCCCCGGAAGCUGUCGUUGGCAACAAAAAUAAACUGUUUAUAACCAAAAACGGAACUAAACAGCUAGUAGCUACAGAGUAAAAUAGAACACAAAAAAGAGUACAAUCACGACACACAUGGUCAAGCGUGGCGAAAAACAUCAAACCAUUUUUCAUCCCACAUCGCAAAACGAGCGUUUCGAUAGUGAUGUAACAUCUCACCGGAUGCCAUUUUCAUCCUUUCCGCCAUCCUGGUUUAAUGGGGAACAAAUCCUUCUGGAUGGAUGAAAAAAGACAACAAAUAGUUCCGUCUUCCAUUGCCGUCCAUUUUCCGCUCACACAACAGGCUUUUGUGCACACAUCGAGUCGCUGCUUUUAAAACUUGGACAUCAAAGGCUGAAAAAGGAAGUUGGAAGUAAAAGCUUUACUACAGCAGCAUUCCUGCAAUAGAAACAGAGCCGAGACGUGGUACCGCCGAGACCAUGUCUAGUCAAAGUUCCGUUCUUCUGCAGCCAAUACAAGUGUGUUUGUGUACAGUCGAUAAAUCUUUGACAUCGAUUCUACCCGUAGCUUCGCUCACUUCCUCUGUCCCAAUCCACAGCCAGUUGGUAACUGUGCCACAAAACCCAGCAGAACUAACCGAUUACAGAAUGCAAACAGCGUUCAAAAUGGUAAACGAUCGGUAAUUUAUCAGUCAAAUCCGGACGGUACGAAAAUCGACAUGUUUGUUUUAUUAACUCUAGGGUCCUCUUUCACCGGUUCAGGUUUACACGUGCGGAAGUCAAGUUUUUGGGGGAGAAAAUGCAAACAUACCGCAAAUAAGAAACACACGGGUAAACCGGGAAUGGCAACCACGCACCACAGUAACGAGCGUAAGGAGUUGUUUGGGGAUGAAUUUUUUGUUUCUUUCGUUUGCAGCCAGGAUGAUAGAUUUUGGCUUGUGGCGCACAGUUUAACAUCAAUAUUGUACCCGGUUCCGGACGAGAUGUUGUGUCGCAGUAACGACGAACGGAUUCUCACACCAUGCGAAAGUUUUCGUUUGACGUGAAGCAAUAUUAAGCAGCAAAUGCGAUGGCUUUGUAGACGAUAGAAUAAACAUCAAAAACUUAAUCUAAUGCAUGCCAUAACCACUGCAGACGAGUGAUUUAUUAUAGUUUGCAAAAAAUGGGCCAGCCAGCCUCCUCCAGCAAGACAACUAAUGUAAAGCUCUUACUUCAACUUCUACGAGUUCUGAACUUUACUACAUUUAAUUCAAAUACCGAUUUAAUACUACACAAUAAAACAUAUCCUAUACCACAAUUGCAUAAUGAUAUGAAGAACACAAAUCCAAAUAAAUAAAUAAACCAAUGGUUACUUGACAUUAAUUGAAGUUGACUGUUACAUUGAUCUUUGUGUUCCAUUUUUUUAGCGACUUCAUCACUUAACUUAGUGAAAAUUAAUUUAGUCAAAUGACCCAUGAAAUCAACACGAUGGUGCAUUAGUCUUAACAUCACACCCGAUUACACCUGUUCAAACCCAAAGCAUUAUUCAACAAUUCCUCGGUUCAGCAAUCACAACCAUCGAACCAUUACAACAUAAAUUUUACUUUUUUUUAACAUCACUGACAUAAUAUUAAUCGAUUAGGGUGUUUCUAUUGCUUAAUGUAGAUCGAUUUUUUUUGAGGAUUGAUAAGAAAAGGAUUCCGAGAAGAAGGUACCAGAUAUAUGUUCUGAACAAUUAACGAAUUAAAAAUGAUUUUUUCAGCUUUGUUCCGCAUUUCAAUCGUUACCAAUUAAAAACCUUCACAACAUCAGCAUAAAAUUAUAGUAAUACAGGCGUCCUCCGAGUUACGACCCUCUCGAUAUGCGACGAUUCGCAGAUACGACGAUUUUGAUCCGGACAGUUGACAGUUGUUAUUUUGCCCAAAUUAACAGUAUUUUUUAAUUUUCAACGGUAACCGUUAAAAAAUCAUGGUCUUCACUGAUAAUAGAAACGAAGUUGUUGGAAUAAACUUAUACAUUCUCGAUAAAUAUUUUAAAGCAAUAUUGAAUAGAUAUUGGAAAGAUUAAUUACUAUACUACAACAUGUAUAAAACUGAGCGAAAUAAUUGAAUAAAACUUUCAACUCUCUACGUAUGGUUAUAAACAAUAUAUUCUCGACUUACGACGAUUUCGACUUACGCCUUGCUUCGGGCUGUUUUUUCGGUACCAAAUACAUGGGAUACGCCUGUACUAUAUGAAAAGGAUCAAUUGGAAUGAAGUAAAGAUCGUUGGAUCAAAGUUUGGCUCACGGACAAACAUCGCCAACAACAUUCGACACACAUUCAAGUACGACCCAGACAUUGAAUAUUCGACUCAUCCUUAAGUGGUCAUCGGUGCAAUUAACAAUGAAAAUCCACUUUAUCAAGAGCUCAAAAUUAUAUUAGAAUCAGGUGAGAUGCGUUAAACUUCAUGAGAGAUUUGUUCCUACCGCUACAUCCUUUGAAGAGUGUUCUUACCGACACAUUAUUGAGAGUUUCUAAUUAAUUCUUCUGCAAUGUCAAGAGUUGUUAAGGAAAUAAUUGUUAUGUGAAUACUAAGCAUAAUAAAUAUCCAAUGGAAGACAUUCAUAACAAAACAUAUUUUGAGAGGAAAAGUUAGGUUUUUGCGGGGUAAGCUGGUUACUGCUUAAUAAAAUAAAGAAGCACUUCAAAUCUGGAUAUGGAGCACUUCGUAGAUGGAAAACUUAUAGACACGAACCCUGAAGCAACAGUUAUCAAUAAGGAGUUAUCAGUGUCCAAUAUUCCAUACGUUAUCUUAUUGUAAAUGGAAUGUACCUACUAAAUGACACAACUUUCUAACAGCAAGUAUCAGCCUGGUCGCUGAAAUGUAUCAUCAGAUCAAACCCUUAUGGACAUUAUUGAAAACUGCAAUACCAUCUUCUAAAUAUACCUGCUGCUAACAAGAUAUGCAAACCGUACAAGCGCUGUUUGAACAAGAGCAAGAAUGAAGAUCGAUCGGGCUUACACGGUACGCAUUAGGCAUGCAUAAAGACACACGGAUAAACCUCGGUCGGUUCUCAACCGAUGCUCAACUAAGAAUCAACACAAUCUUGCGGACAACUGUGCCGGUACGGCUAAUUGCAAGAAACCGGACCAUAUAAUGUGUCAAAACCAUUAUUAAUCCCCUUUACAUCACCGUCGUAGCGGAAGGAAUCGAAGAGUAAAAUCCACCCCCGUAAGUGCUUGUAUCGCUCGAGUGCUGGUGGUGCUUAUCUGGUGGUUUUGGUACCGAACAGCAUAAUUUGUGAUUUAUGAUGGGCAGUAUGAGUAAUUGAAUGCGUUACUCAAAUUAAUGGUACCAGCAACCACAUGGCGAGUAUAGUAAAUUCCGAUUUGUGGUUAGAAUGGCAUUAUAAUCUCAUGCGGUUGUAAAAGUUUUCGCAAUUAGCUCAUUGUUUGCAUUUAUUUUCAUUUAAAUAUAUUUGCGACAUUAGCAUUACAAUAUCACAUCGAUAUUAUUACGUAUUUAAAUAUUUUUCAAAAAAUCUCAAAUAUCUCAAAAACACGGAUGCACCAAACAAAAUUAGGCCAACGACCACGUUCAAGGUCGUCAGGGGAAAGUAUCGCGCAUAAUAGCAAUAACAAAAAAUCCCCCAUGAAUCAUCGAAGUCACUGACCUAAAUUCUUUCGACAAAUACACAAAACACAAAAUGUCUCCUUCUACAUGCUCUUCUUCAUCUUGAGAAAAGGUACCAACACAUUCUUCUUUACGCAGGCGCGUGUACUUCGCACAUAGUUUACCUUUUUACACAACAUUACUUCAUCAUGGGCUCGUCCAAGUAAGAUAACGUGCACAUACCUUUUUUCUGUGCAAGCCCUUUACAUGCGGACUGGCUUAAGAAACCGCUAAGGUAGUAAAGGUACGUUUGUAUAGGUAAUCUCAGGCAAGUUCAUGGACAUGCGUGACCAUCAAGUGGCCAUGUAUAAGUGACUUUAUAUCGAAGAAUUGGAGGUGUACACGGUAUGACUCAUGUUUCGCUCUUUGUCUGCAGAGCAUUCACAAUGGCAGGAGAAACAUGUUUGCACAGUGCUUGAAAUAAUUUUAUAAUUUCUUGCAAAAAAAAUUCAAAAAAAUUAUUGCAAUACGAUUAUUUAGAAGAAUAUUUGUAAAAUCAUACAAUAUUUAGCAAUAGAUUAACUCCAUAAGAAUUCCAAUGAACAUUGCGAUAAACAUUCGUAAUGAUUGGUCGAAUACAUGUCGACUUUUGAGCUUUCAACCAUUCACUUUCAAGCCAUUCGAAAUGUAAAACAAAACUGUCUAACUUAGGCAGAAACUAAAAACUUGUAUUUAUUAAAUAACCUUAUUAAUAUUUUAUUACAAUUUUUAAAACACAAAAUCACUUCAAGGAAGAUUUUAAAUAUGCAUCACAAAACGUUCUCAACAUCGUAGUUUGCUUUCCGAUUGGUUUCAUAAGUUUCCAUUUAAUGCGGUAAACUUUAGCAUGCAUGGGACGUAUUAGCUUGUUUUGGAAUUUGUUUGUGUUUGGAAUUUCGUACAAGUUCUGUCGUACGACACUGGCUUCAACUACACCACCGACCGGCUACAGAAUUCGGGAUGAUAUUUCAUAUACAGCAACAUAAUGAGGUAUUACUUUAAAUGUUAAUCCGAUAGGAGAAAAGGAUUGCAAAACGGAGCAAAACAUACGCACCUCACUGUUGCUUAGCCGGUUUACACACUACGACAUCAAACUUCACACUUUGCUUGUGAGUGUGUGCCCUUUGCGCACCUGAGCUUACGAAGCAAAUCGCAAGCAGACCGUGCGGCAUUAUGUUGGAAGCAGUUAUUGGACAUGGAACAGAAGAACUGCGAUCGCGAGUUUGUGAACGUGAAUGACCGGUCAAAAUUGCUGACUGAGCCAACCAACCGAUGCAGUGGGUGCUGCGACCCUAGUGACGAAAUAGCAAGCAGGCCCGGCUGACAACGGGAGACCUCAAAAGUAUCACGCCACUACACGUCCUACACCAAUACCGUCGAAAGCUGAAAAGCGCAUUACUCAACAUGGCCUGGCCUGUUGUUGUAAAAGACCUGAUGAUGAUGAUGCGCUGCGAUCUUGGAGGACUACUGGAGAUCAUACUAAAUAUAUGGUGUUGCAUUUUUCAAAAGGCCGCUAUACAGCUUCUAUCCGAGCAACGAAUUGAUCAUGGAGGAGGCGGAGGAGAGGAAUCCAACAUCGCCGGAUUGUGCCUGCUGUGAAUAAAGUUGCAUCAGACUUCAAAAGCCUUCCAGGCUGAAUAAAAUGAACAAACCCGCACGAUAUUGAACACAGUAAAAAUAAUAUAUACGCGUAUGUUGUACUACGAGAGAAUGAUAAACGAUAAUGUAAUACAUUAAUUGAUUUUUAUGAAAUAAAACGAUAUGUAUAUCAAAUAAAUAAAAUACAAUAAUACGCAUUAGUUUGAUCUGGAAUCGCACGAUAAACAUGAUGACAAGAUUUUUUACUUGAACGAUAGAACACGCGAUCGAUACAGUCACUUAUUAUUAUCAAUCAUAAUCUUUUUUAUCUACAAAAAUACAGAUUAUCCAACAAUCUUUACCGGUGUGGGACGUUCCCAACAUUCACCAUAGGCACAUUUUGUUCUAUCACAACUCUUUUCCUGCAAAAUUUGUCUCGUUAUUAGCUAAAGUAAAUUUUUAUUAUAUGCAUUUCAUUUACAUUUUUGCGCAAGUUCUUUAACUAUGGGUAAAAAUUGAUCAAAAUAGUUAGACUCGUUUUUAAAAGGAAUCAAAACCUGUUUGUCGUAGGACACGUCAUGAACGUCGUGGCAAAACUAUCGACGAGACAGGUAAUGUACUCCUGAACUGUAUACGACUCGUUGUAACCAAAUGAGAGGGGAUAUGAUAGAAGUUAACUGGAUGAAACAUAAAAAACAUAAGCGGAAAGAGGAUUAGACACGUCAGAUAUACAAAAAAGUAUAGUUUUGCAUUGAAAACGUAUAGCACAAAGCAUAAACUCGAUGAUCGGAUGAUCUUUUCUUUAAACCCCAGACGAUCCGUUAUAAAUAUUUGGUUCGAUUUCGGUUACCGUCCGUAUGGAGUAUUAGGAAGUCAGUCUUGCAAAAAAUCUGAAGCCCUUUUCGCACCAUACGAAGUAUGUUAUGAAAUGGGUAUUCUAUAUCACUUUUAAAAUGUUUAAAAAAUGCAAAAUGUUUCGUAGAUUCAAAUGCAAAAGGUUUAGUAGAAAAAACUCCUAACAGCCAGUAAAUUUAGGUUCUGUUAUUAAAUCAGCUAAGCUUUCCUUUCUACUGACUGUCAUCUUAAGUGAUUUAAAUGCUCACUUAAACACAUAUGCAGCAUGCUUCAGUAAAGAUUUGAGGUCUUUUGUUGAACAAUUUAUUGGAACAAAUAACAAAUCAACAACAAAUUAUUUAUGAGAAAAAGAGGAAUUGGGAAUUAUAGUAAGGAAAUAUUCGAAAUUAUUUAAAACAAAUAUGUAGAAUGAAAAUUGGAACAAAAAUCCUCAAUCCUGUUAGCAAUUUUAUUUAGUUUAUAUCAUUAGCCCUGAAGUAAUCCUACAGCAAUUCCAAAGAGACUUUAUUUUAGCUUGAAAAUUUUGCAAUUGACAUGUACUCUCUUCACAUGAUGGAUUAAUUACUUUCAUAACACGUACGAAGGGAUAGCAUGGUGAAUCUAAUACAAACGAACUUCAAAGAUGGAAACAACCACCGUGAAAGGACAAAUUCGUUUUAAGCUUCUUAGUCGGUUAAUCCUCGCAUCGCAUCUUAUCUAGAACAUGAUUGCAAGUAAAUGGAAGCGGUGACACUUGAGGCGUUAGAUCUCAAACCAAGCCCACACCUAGGGUUUGCUUUCCGUUCACUACUUUCCACCGUACCAAGCGCUACAACGAAUGAUUCUAAUCGAAUAAAUUUGAAUAAAAUUAAUUAAACCCCGAACAUAAUCAUUGCGAAACAAUGGUCCUAAAAAUUACCACCAUUUCUCACGGAACCACCCCGCCAUUUCGGUAUCAUUCCCUUUCCAUCGUUCAACGCACUCGUGGAAAAGCAGGGCGAAAGUGAUGAUGAUGGUGAUGAUGACGAUGAUAGGAAAAUGCGCGUUCACAUUCGUACCUCGCGGAUGAAUUUUACUGUCGGUUCUAACGGAAGUAAAUACAGCCGAUUGCAAUAUAGGGGACCUCACACAUACACACAUAAAAGGAGUCCGGAACUGGCAGGAACGGUCGAUGCCUCGCAGACAAAGCGUUUGAGAGCACGGAUGAUGAUUAUGAUUAUGGGAUGCCGGGGUCGUCGUCCCCGGUGGACCAAGGGAUCAGCGGUACAGCCGGCACGUCGCGAUGUAUACUUUGCCCGUUUUCCCGUGCUCACUCCAUUUCCCGAAAAGGAAGUCCCUCGAGCGGGUUGAAUAAGAGAUAAAACUGAUGAUUAUGUCCUGACAGUGCCGUGACAGGGCUCACGGGAACCGGGGGCCCAGAUCAUCCGGCCGGCUCGUCUCGUUUGCUCGUUACUAAUGGUUGGAUGAUCAUCGCGUCCUGCACAUUCCGCAUUCGUUUUACACCCGGGACACAAACCCCCUAGCUGCAAAUCGACUGCUUUUGCGCUGACGUUGACCGCCGCGUGGGAUUAACGGGUUUAAAAUAUUCAUCACCGACUGCAUUCAUCGAAUCGGGAUAUGGUAAAAGGAUGUGCUCGAUGGCAAGGGUUUGGGCAUGCACUUUAAGCUAAAGAGAAACCAUUAGAUCUAUCUCCUGUGGGAGAAAAUAUUAAUGUGCAAAAACAAACAAAACAAAUCAUAACAAAGAGAAGCGGCUCAUUGUUGAGAAACACUGCAAUAUCUCAUGAAAUAAAUGUUAUUGUUUCACACACAACGUCCCUAAAAACAAUGUUAUUUGAUUUAUGUUUUGGGACACUAAAACCUAAACUGGAGUGAGAUUUCUGGGGUUCCUUCACCUUCAUUAACCCGUUGCAAGAUAGUCAGUUCUGCGUACGUGGAUACUGUCCUGUGGUGUAAAAUCGACGCCUCGAAGACACAUACCUAUGGGUUCAACAAAUAUUUCAUUUUACAAUUGAAUAAUAAAUGAUAGUGCAAUUGUAGAAACCACAUUUAUCAUUUAACUAUUCCUAUAUUUUUUUCCUCAACAACUAUUUGUUUAGAUAUUUGGAUUCUAGGAGAUAUUUUUUUAUGUUGAUUUUAGGUAAGAAAAUGGCAAUAGGCUUGAAGAAAUUCUAAUAACAGCUUCAAAAAUUUGUAUGAUAAACUAUUUCAAAUAGUAUUAAAUUUUGUGUAUUCUGGGGAUAAUAUGAUUACGAACGGAUACAAUUAUUAGCGAUGGUGAGUUUUUGUAACAUUGACAAAUAGAUUUUCCAGACGAAUACUUAACGAGAGAAACACCACAAAACUAGAAGUUGGGAAUAUUCUUCAAUCUCAAACAAAAUUACUCACACACUUAAAUGUGUAUGAUGCUGGGCAUGUAAAUUGUUCACUUAAACCAUUCAAAGAACAUAGCGAGGUAACCCAUCCGUUCUCUUCCGUUUACGCCCUUUUGCAUGGUGAAGGGUGAAUGGCCUCUGUUUUUGAAAAUGCACAAUAAAAGUGAUAGGGGAAUAUGUUUACCCGGAGGGAAAAUUAAACUCUACACCCCUUCCUAAGCCGUUCCGCUCGAUUGUUACGCCCGCAGGACAACAGACAAACACAAAUGUCCUCCGAAAAGUAGAAUAAUAUUCCACUAUCCAAUUCCAGCCUAAUUGAUUAGAACGCUGCACCCGGGUGGACCAAUUUGCGAGAGUAACUUGCUGGGGGAGAGACCAAAAAGGUGUUACUUCGUACAUUUAUGGGUUUGUCAUGUAGUGCCGGCCACUUUAUUCAACGCAAUUUCGACAGAUCGUUGUACAGUCGUGUUCGUCUCCUUUUUUUUCUCCACAAUGUGUUUGCCAUACUGCUGUUUUCCAUUAUCGUGAAAUGGUGUGUUGACAACAAGCCCCCGGAUUGUGAGGAUUGGAGAAACCUGGAAACAUGGUCAGCAAAACAAGGAGAAGCUAGUUUGUGCCACUGUUGAAAGUUUUUCCCCUGUGAACAAGUCGUCAGUUUGGAUGAUGGCUGAAGCAAGACAGAAACAGAAGUAACUUUUCUAGUUCCACCCAGAAUAAAAAACCCAAGCUGCAGCUGGCAAUUCUUUGACAUUUGAUUUUGCCUUUUACUUGCAUCCUCUUUCGCGGGUCGAGGUAGAAAACAUCAUAAACACCUUCAAAGUCUCGGUGGUGUGCUAACCAAAACGGAAUUACUCUAGCAAACUCGCUACACCGCAAGGACUUUCAUGAAGAGCUGCAAACCACUGAGCACCAGUACCAAUGUUCGCUCAAUCGCAUACCCAAGCAGGGGGACAAACUCUUUCAAAACGCGUUGCGUCGAUUCGCGGUGGGCAACAAACCGAACAAGGAUUAUCCUGAAAGCCAUGAUCAAAUGAAUAAUAGAAAGUACAUACAACAUACAAUCAUCAAAUAGUGACACCGUCGGGAUAUAAUGUGGACCCGUAUAUUGAAAAACAGAAGGGAUAAAAUAAAUAAAACACACAACUAUAGCCUAAGGUUUAGCAACUGUCGGAAAUAGACGCCUAAAGGCAAGUAAUGGGCUGAGAGAAUCAUUCUCCGAAUACCAUCUGUUCCAAUACGUGUUGCGGUCUUGAAAUGGUUGCUGCAAAGCGUAUUGGUUGACUAAUGUUCGAAUGUUCUUGGUCGGCAAGUUGGGUUGGUUUUUUACCCAAAAAAAUAAUCGCCUCAACGCUCUAUGUCGACACGAAUCAAGAAAAGAAACUUUUCAUGCGGAGGUGUAGCAAUUUUACAAUUACUUUAAUUACCCGUAUAUUUCCAGUUGUUGUUCAACUUGGAGGAAAUUUUAUAAAAUUUAAAAGCAAAACUCACGAUGUUGAAAUAACCUAUGAUUGUGUUUAAAAAAAAAUCAAUGUUAAUCCCUGAAUAAUCGUAGAAUUGGCGAUUAGCACUUGUAAUUACGUUAGGUUUAGGACAACAAUAUUUUCCUGUGAUAAAUAAGGUUUGUAUACACUGUGCAGUUAUUUACGAUAAAUUUUUCAGUAGUUUUUACAUUUUAUGUUAUGCCUUACAAAACAGAAAAAAAAUAAUACUACAAGAAGGGAUGUCAGAAAUUCGGGAGACACUACAUUUUAUUAUUCAACGAUCACUAUCAAAUAUAAUGCCCCGAGGCAACGACGGUUAAAGAUUUCCUCAGAACUCAAAAUCUCAGAAACUCACCAGUGGUUUUGAGUUAUUUGCGUUUUGAGGAUCCUUGAAUACCUUUAAUGAAUACAUUGAAUACAUUUGAUUGUUAAAAUAUUUAUUUACAUUCUCAAUCUUAAAACAAAAUUUGAUCAAAAAAACUUUCAAACAAAGAUAACAAUUACAUAAAAUACAUAGCAUUUGUCACACACUGUUUGUAGUCGCUGACGAAAAGAGAGGCAACAUGGCCGUCAUGACUGAUUGUUUUUGAGACCAUAUUUGAGGAAAACCUCAAAUGGCCAUGUGGAUUUUGGUUUUGAGACGGUUUUUGAGGGAUUUGAGUGAAGCUUUAGGAAAGUUUCAACUAUCGUGGGCACCCGGCUUAACAUUUCAAUUAGAGAAGUACAUCCUAAAACUAAAACCUGUUGUGUGUAAAGACCUCCAAAAAAAGAGCUAAAAAGUAAACAAUAUCGAACAAGAAACACAUUUAAAAAGUAAUUUAACAUAAUUCUUGUUUCAAACUUCCGUAAACUGUCAUAUUUAAAUAUAAAAUACACCUAUCGCUCAAACCAUUCGAAUGCGAUAAACUCAUUCAUGUUACGAAUCCAAAUUCCCCUAUAAUGUCGAAUGCAUUCGCUUUUCUCAUGACAGCCAUUUUCUCGGGAUACUUUUCCCGAGGUCACAAUAACAUACUAUGCGGAAGGCUACCGAACCGACGAACUGCCGGGGUUUUGUAGUUUGGUAUGGUUUGAUUGCCGGUUUGAUUGAUAUCUCCCGGUGCACGUGCAUUCUGAAUGGAAAAGAUGCUUUGCUAACCCCACCUAUUGAGGGACGGGAAUCAAUCGAACGUAACAUGAAAGGAUUGGAUAUGGAUCUCCGAUCUCUACUCCCUUUGCAUCUCGCAUCUACCACAUAUGGGUAUGCUCCCAUUGACCUCUGACCUAUUUUCCCGUAUUCUAAACGGACACCAAACACAAACCAGGUCUGCAUUUGGCGCGUGUGUGCAUCGAGUUGUGUGCAGAUUAUCCCACAUGCACAGACAGCGGUACAACGUGCGCAAUAUCCCUUCUACUCACACACGCACACGCACAGUGCGCAAUUGAAUUGUUGCAUAAUUUCAUUUCCAACUCGAAACCUCCGUACGGUGAAAUGCAAUUUGAGUGCUUUAUUCGUUUCAGCCAUGUGAUUAUCGGGACCGGGAUUGCGUUUCGCAUUGACAAGAAGGAUGCAAACCGCAUCGAGCUGCUUUCCUUACAGCACUCGACCCCGCCAGUCCAUCACGGAGUGCCUUCCAGCCAGACUAUGCUGGAACUGGCAAUGCAAUUAGAGAAAACCGCCCCGUUCAAAGAACAACAGACAUUCGGGGGUGAUGAUGAAAUGAAAUCGAGAACCAAGUCCGGUGCAUCGUUAUUUAUGUGUCGUCCCAACGGUGAGCUGAACCGAUGCAUGCUCUAUAUGGCCGUGAGUGUAUACGGCCGCAAAUUAAUGAUCGAAUGGAGGAUAUGCUGGCUGAAUAUGAUCCGGUCCAGGACAGGGCAGGUCAUUCGACAGAACGGCAGUGGCCAAGAACAACUCGUUAUUUGUGCGAGGAAAAACAUUAUCCAACAUCUGAAACGAUUAUGGUAAAUGCGUCCUAAUAGCGAUAUAGGUAACAUUAAGAAAUAAUAAUACCAGGUCUAACAAUCCGUAUCAUUUUCAUUCUAUAUCCAUGACUGAAUUGGGAAAAUUCUGUUAUAUAAAAUCUUUUUUGUGAAAAUAUUUUACGCUUCUAAUUUAACUCAAAAGAAUGUUUUUUUACUUUCAUACGAUUGUGUUGAACGGCAGCGGAAAGCCCAAAAACGCUAGUUUUAAUUAGUAAGCCGCUAACAUGAUUCCAAGAUCUCUAUUUAGCAGGUAAUUGGGUCAUCAUGUACGAUAAACCUUCGCCUCAUCCCCAUCGUCUAAUCGCACCCCCAAAAACCACUGUUGUUACGCAAUCAAUGAAAGGUACACCUUAGCACGGCCUCAACAAACUGGUAAGACUUAACUACGCGAAGAAAUUAUUUAUUCCUGGCAGGUUCAUACAUUUCACGCAUGAAAGCUGUCUCCAUUUCCCGCGCACCCAGCCACGGAUCCAUUUACUCCCGUAUAGUUGGUCGCGAACAGGGAGCCAAAACGUGGUCAAAAUCGAGGGCCCACCUUAGCUCCAACUGCUUGAUUAGCUCUUGCAGGCAGCUAAUUUAAUCAGAUCGCUCCAUCACCAGGCUAGUUCAACUAUCCUACGGUAGGGAACCGGUUCGACCUUUCUUAUAAACCUUCCAUCCGCCGUACUAUGAGAAAAUGAUGGAAGAGGAGCUUUUCGAACAGGCGGAUAUUUGAGCCCUAUUUUCUCCCCUCCGCUGGAAGUGAACCUUUGUUCCCGUGCGAAAUGAUACAUCGCACUACCAGCCACAUCCGGUCGGUUUUCCUGAGGUGGGGCAGCUUCCGAUAUCCGAUGCCUUCGGGCGUGCCUGAAACCCGAUUCGCCAGGAUCCAGCACCAACAGGCAGACAGGCAGGCAGGCAGCGUGUCAACAUUGACUAGUUGGAGCAAAAUUAAUGCCUGUAAUUACGGAAAAUUACCACAAGUAAUUAACAUCGCCGUGGAAAAAGGGAUGAAACUGGCACACAACACUCUGUAAGGCACGUGAGCAAGAACAAAACCAGUGACAAAGUUCGAAGAAAGAAAAAGGACAGCAAAACAGCAACCGGGACACAACAAAAAAAAAACAAUCGCCCAAUACAAGUGUAACGCACCCCGUGCCAAAGUCGUGCACCUAACCUUAGGCAUCUCAUUAUCUCCAACGAGUAGACGAGAUAGACUGGCGGUACCAUUUGCUGUGGUAAUAUUGAUUGAGCUUUCACCAUUAGAAUGAACUGGCGGAGGACCACGAGCCCGUUGUUUCCCCCACCGGUUUGAUCGACACGUACUGAUAUGCGAUCUGCUGUAAGGUGGUAGCCGCGGUAGUAGUGCAGAAUGUAUCGGAAAUGUAAUUAUUGACUUCCUGAAAGCACUGGCUCUAAUUGAUCUUGAGCGUGUAUCGCUGAUAACAUUUUAAUUUGUAGCUUAAUUGUGCGUCACAAGAAAUAAAACCAUAAAUGUAACAGAAACAUAGCUGAAACAAAGCUGUUGUGAAGCGACAUUGAAUGAAAGAAUUAUCGUAUCAAAAGUUUAACAAUCUGGAUGCAAAUCAUACUGACUUAUAAGCAGAGGCAAUAAGAAUUAGUUAUUAGUUAUUAGUUAAUAAUCUUGUAUGUUGAGUGACAGUGCCGUUUUGGAAAACUGAACAAAUUUCUUAUAUAUGAAUGUUCCUUUCCAAUUCUCACAUGCCCUUUGACAAUAUUAGUUAAAGAUAUAGACGCCUUCGCACAUUAUAAUUAAAAUAAACGGCGCGGAUAUUGACUGGAUUUGAAUUACAACACUUGCACGACUUUAAAAAAAGGUGGACUAAAUUUGAAGUGAGUACAUUUUUGGGGACAUUGCGUCGCAAUAAUCAAUUGUGACUAAUCCACUAAUCGAUGGAUAUGAAGAGCUUUCAUACACAUGUCCAAAAAGUUAUGACAUUGUCAUGUAUGUUUACCACAUGGUCUAGAGCAGGGGUCUCCAAACUACGACCCGCGAGGCCCUCCCGAGAUAUCCCGAGAUUGGCCCUCAGCUGUGGCUAUUCCACUCAAAGCGGCCCGUCAUUUAAAAAAAUUGGAGGCCCCUGGUCUAGGAGCGGUCUUUCAAGGUGAUAAGAAACUUUUUAUCAUUUUUUUUAUUCAGGUACGCCGUAUUGAUAACGUUUUCGCAAUUUUCUUAAAAUUAUAAACGUAGAUAAAGUACAGAGCCCCCUCGAGAUAGUAGCGUUCUUAGAUAAAAGAGUUUUGAUAAACGAAUAAUCACACACUACAUCACUGCCCAAUGUUCCCGGGGCGGGUCACAUAUGAGGCUCGUGAGCAGUUUCUAAAAGAGCAACCAAAAACAAAACAAUUUAAUAUUUGUUAACAAUUCAGAUCCAGAUAAAAGAGGAUUAAAUAAAACGAUUUCGUUUGUCAUAUCCGUUUGGGAACAUCAAAUUUGAAUAUAAUGCACAUAUAUAAAAUAUUUGUUGAUAUAGAGAUGUUUAAAGAGCUGGAACGGAUGAAUGGUUCUUCAUUGAAUUCGAAGGGAAAAAUUGUUUUGACUUAAGAGCAAUAUUAUAGAACGAAUUAAACUCGUAUCUCGAGGAACUGCUGUAUUGUUUUCGCCUAAAGUUAGAUUAUUUAGUAUCAUCGUUCCUAUGGUUGGCCCAAAUAAGCCAACGCUGUAUCAGACAAGACAAGAACAAUGCCAUACACCAUGCUCUAUAGAUAUCGACGAUAUCGAACAAAACUGACUGAUAUUGUGUAGAACGACUGUGUUCCAUCUUGAAAUGUACUUGAAAGGUGUACCAAACGCCUUGGCAAGCAGCAUAGAAGCGAUGUUUGAUAGAGAACCCUACGAACAUUGUCGUGUCUGUGAAGGAUGUUCGACGGUUGAUAGAGCGCUGCCUACGUGAAUCAACUCCUGAGCAAAACGGUUAGAGCACUGCUGUUAAAUUCGUCGUAGCUCGCGGUUCGGCAUGCAAUUAGAAAUAUUCUUACUCUUUUAAAAAUCUGCUAAAAAGCUGUUUUCUGAUUGAUUCAUCCAUCAGACGAAGCUCUCGAUGUUCCUUUGCGGACCGAAUUAAAAGAUCUCGCCUGUCACAUGCAGCUCGUUGGCUGUAUUAUUGCCUGCAUAUUGCCUCUCUGCAUUGUAUUAAUUAAUCAUUUCAUCCGUUACAAGAGAUAACUUUUUCUAACAUACAAUGAAACUAAUUUACGUAUUU